GUUUUGCCGAACGGACAUUUUGCCGAACGGACAUUUUGCCGAACGGACAGUUUGCCGAAAGGACAACUUGCCGAAAAUAGAGAUGUUAUUUCGUCAAACUUUUUGGGACUGUGACUGAUUUCUCAACUGUGUAAUUCUCAACCAUUGUGUAAAAUAACAAUUAUAUGGUCAUUAGCAGCGCAUAAUGAGUCGUUAUAGCAGUACAUAACCAAUAACCAUAUUGACUAUUGGUAGCUUGUUUGUGCACCGGAGGACUCAUUUGCUAGGAACGUGUUUUGACGUCAGGUCGUAAACAAACAAGCGUAUAUAAAGACAACGACGUAAGCGAAUUUCACUUCGAGAAUCAUGG